rnacentral:lncRNA from 1 species
UCUAGUGAUGCCAAUUUCUUCUGGGGGAAUAACUGGCUUUGCUUGGGAAUAGAAUUGGUAACGGAUUCAUUGGAAAGCAUGGUCAGACCUUCUGCUCGAUCCUGAAGUCUUGUAGUAAUCGUUAUUUCUAUUUUAUGCAUGCAUUUUCGGUAAACAUCAAUCAUAUUCAAAUGCAUAUAUUAAUUCAAAUUAACUCAAUGGACAUUUACGCAAACAAAACAGAGAAAGUACAACAAAAGUAUCUUUUUGGGAACAAAAUUGUAUUGAUUUUGAAAGAGGGCCUAUA